CAAUGAAUGUCACCAUUGCCUAGCAAAGAGUCCCUGCUGCUUGGUGGAGAAGGAGACCUCUGUGGAAGUGUGUUGGUUGUGGAGUCUUGCCUGUCUUCUCUAUGGUAUCCACGGGGUUGUCCCAUGAUCCUAGGAGAGGAAAAACAUAAGCCAGCCUGAAGAUACGUCAAGCACAGCCACAGGAAUAAACUGCAAAAUCCCUAAGAAUCCAAAAGGAUCUGCAGGAUUUCUCAAGCCUGCCUAGAUGUCGUAAGUCCCUUGCCAGAACGGUGGUGCAGUGAUGUAUUACCUGCCAACAGCACAAUGUGAGGCAGGGUCCAGCCGUUCUGCCCAGCAUACAACUUGAGGGAGCAGCCCCUUUUGAAGACCUCCAGGUGGACUUCACAGGAAUGCCAAAGUGUGGAGUGAUCAUGUGUGGAUCAAGGACUGGAAUGUAGCCCACCCACAACUACGGUGGGAAGGACCCCAGACCAUCAUUUUGACGACUCUCACAGCAUGAAAAUAGAAGGAUUCCCAGCCUGGAUCAAUCACAGUCAUGUAUCAUCUACAUUGUCUGAGACCUGAGAGGUGAGACUGAGCCUGGUGGACCCCUGCAAAGUGACAUUGAGAAAGAUGGCAAGCCCUGCUACAGUCACAACCAGAAGCUUACUGUUGUAUGCAUGGCAAAAGAAUGAGGAUACUCAUCAUGGGAUUUAUUCUCCUUAAAAUUUGUACUUCUAUAAUAAAGACUGAUUUUUCCUGCA
rnacentral:lncRNA from 1 species